UACAGGGGGUGCAAACGUUGCUCGGAAUUACUGGGCGUAAAGGGCGCGUAGGCGGCCCGCUAAGUCGAACGUGAAAUCCCCGAGCUCAACUCGGGAACUGCGUCCGAUACUGGUUGGCUUGAAUCCGGGAGAGGGAUGCGGAAUUCCAGGUGUAGCGGUGAAAUGCGUAGAUAUCUGGAGGAACACCGGUGGCGAAGGCGGCAUCCUGGACCGGCAUUGACGCUGAGGCGCGAAAGCCAGGGGAGCAAAGCGGG
rnacentral:rRNA from 1 species